CUCUCUGGUCUGCGGAAGAGAUAAAUGCCUUUAUGCGUUAUAACUUCUUAUUUAUGACCUCUAUUUUAAAUCUAGAAACCUUUUCUUCAAACUGAUGUUGAAACAACUAGCCACUUAGGGAGCAGUUUUUUGAGCAAAAGGAAAAAUCAUCCAUUUCUCCUGGAAUACCUCUAAUGGUCAUUUUAUGCAACUCUCCUUUCAAGAAAAGACACGUCUUCGAUCGCCUCUUCCCUUAACCAUCAUUAGUUUCAGCCAGAUGGAGAGGAAUCGAAAAAAGAUCACUCUCUCUGGAGGUGGUUUGGGGAAGAAAACGGAAUAAGUCAACAGAGAUUUAGAAGGAUAAUACUGUCACCAUACUAAUACGAGAUUGGGAUACUUUUCUGUGAAAGUUGAAUUAGAAUAUCUUGUUUGAAGCCAAAAAGUACUUACACUUAAGUACUUUCAUAAGCACAGGAGGAGGAAUUUCCUACUGUUGAAGACUAAGUGUGCCAGAAAACUUUUUCUCUGAUGUAAGAAAUACCUUGAAAUCUCUAGUUUGUUUGGAAAAUCGAAUUACAGUCAUGUAGCAGAAUAAUUUUUCAUGAAAUGCGAAGAUGAAUAAUUUCUCUUCUAAUCCAGUGGAAGGGAGAGUAUGUAGCGAGUGUAGAAAAGGACAGAAUAUUAUACAGCGUGCUCUAUGCCUCUCACCUAAAACAGAUCAUCCAUGUCGCUAUAUACUAGAUUGCUCCAGAAAUAUGGAUGAAGAAAAAGAUUUAAUAAGAAGCCGUGGGUGUUUCACGAGGCCUUGAAGUGAUGUCACCUUUACAUCUAAGUGACUUAAUUAGUUAAUAUAGUGAUAUCAUCUAGCAUAAAAGUUGGCUAGUUCCAGUUUGUCAGACGGAAGAGAGGAGUCGCUUGUGAGAGACUUAACCUGUCUCCUAUAAACAUGUCAUGUAUUUAUCAAA